UCAGAUCAGAUCUAUUUUGCCUUCCACUUUCCUCUCUCGCAGAUCUAUCGACCCCCCGUUGGUGUUUGACUUGAUGGCGGCUGGCUGUAAGGUGAUUAUAGCUGAGAACUUCUUGCCGAUUUGUACUCGUUGCAUGCCCUCUAGAUGCUGAUUUGCAGGCCUUGGCUGCUCAUCUCGUUCUGUUCUCUAAGGAAGGAUUUGCAGACUUUGCUCAUCUCGUUUUGUUCUCUGGCGAUUGCAGAAGAUGGUGCUGAAGGCGGAGCUGCAUGACGACAAACAGAAGGUGAAGGCGGUCAAAUCACUCACCGUUC
rnacentral:lncRNA from 1 species